rnacentral:rRNA from 1 species
UACGAAGGGGGCUAGCGUUGCUCGGAAUCACUGGGCGUAAAGCGCACGUAGGCGGAUCUUUAAGUCAGGGGUGAAAUCCUGGAGCUCAACUCCAGAACUGCCUUUGAUACUGGGGAUCUUGAGUUCGGGAGAGGUGAGUGGAACUGCGAGUGUAGAGGUGAAAUUCGUAGAUAUUCGCAAGAACACCAGUGGCGAAGGCGGCUCACUGGCCCGAUACUGACGCUGAGGCACGAAAGCGUGGGGAGCAAACAGG